GUAGGUGGCAAGCGUUGUCCGGAAUUAUUGGGCGUAAAGCGCGCGCAGGCGGUUCUUUAAGUCUGAUGUGAAAGCCCACGGGCUCAACCGUGGAGGGUCAUUGGAAACUGGAGAACUUGAGUACAGAAGAGGAAAGCGGAAUUCCACGUGUAGCGGUGAAAUGCGUAGAGAUGUGGAGGAACACCAGUGACGAAGGCGGCUUUCUGGUCUGUAACUGACGCUGAGGCGCGAAAGCGCGGGGAGCAAACAGGAUUAGAUACCCUGGUAGUCCACGCCGUAAACGAUGAGUGCUAAGUGUUAGGGGGUUUCCGCCCCUUAGUGCUGCAGCUAACGCAUUAAGCACUCCGCCUGGGGAGUACGGCCGCAAGGCUG
rnacentral:rRNA from 1 species